AUGAGAAAAAAAUUAAAUAAUCAAUUAUUGGGAAGAUCUAGCUGUUCCACUAUAACUUCCUAGCCAGGAUAAACUUUAAUGGAUAAAGAGUGAAAGUCUGGAGUUAGGAAGACCUAGGUGAGAAUCUCACCAUAGGUAACCCAUGAACUAGAUAUUUAGGGAGUUGUCAAAGAUCAGCGACAAGACAAGUCAAGGUGGCUGGUGAUGACCUAGGAUUUGGUGGAUGACCUUGGUGUUUUUGACCAAGCUCUCAGUGCCCUACAAUAACUCCGAGGUGUUCAGAGGGACUAGCAGCUCUGGUGUGAGGGCGUGUUGAGUCCUUUUGGGGCUGGUCGUCCACCUUUGAGGUUUGCCUGUUACCUAACGGUCCUUGGACUCCAAGAAGUUUUACUAUGGCCAGUGGCCAGUGGCCAGCCCUUGGUACAACCAGGUGGAGGCUACCACAAGCCUCAGACCCACUGGUGAGUUAUGGGAACAUCUAUCCUACGUGAAGAUGCCUUCUGGAGAGCAGGCAAAUGAGAACCACUUGUUUUAGCAGCCGUGAAUAAUAGCAAUAUACUUACAACCUCAAUGAAUUAACAAUAUCCUCAGCAGCACCCAAUGCCUGACUGCCAUUCUCUGCAGGCCUGCUCCUCCUGGGCCCUUCUGGAACCAAUUUUUCUGUGUGUCCACCAUGAAAAGCCCCCAACACACUGAAGUUAUUCUUCUAAAUUGCUCCUAUCAGUGAAAUGAUCAUCAAAUGUUUGAGAAUAUUAACUCUGCUUAAACUUCACCAGAUCUCUCUUACCUCUAGACUCUCAAAGGGAUCUUAGGGAUCAUCUUGGCCCCAUCCCUUGUUGUAUAGAUUUGGAAUCUGGGGCCACAAGAGCUUAAGUGACUUGUGAGAAUCACAAACACGGUAAGUGAAUGAGUACCAGAGGAGGGAACUGAGCCCAGGUCUUCUCAUUUUAAAUUCAGCCUAAAUUUCCACCCUACCUGGUCAAACAUAUACUCAUGUUUUUCCCUUUUGGACUCUGUUCAUAUUAUUUAUGUACAUACAAUAUAUGGACCUUGAUAUUUAUAUGUUUUCUCUCCAUUAAAAUAAAUUCUUCUGGGAAGCAGAGAUUGUCUUGUUUUUGUUGGUUUUUCUUUGGAUCCCCAGGACUACUUAACACAGAGCUUGGCCCAGAGUAAGGCCUUUUAAUAAA